GAUGAACGCUGGCGGCGUGCUUAACACAUGCCAGUCGAACGGAAAGGCCCAAGCUUGCUUGGGUACUCGAGUGGCGAACGGGUGAGUAACACGUGGGUGAUCUGCCCUGCACUUCGGGAUAAGCCUGGGAAACUGGGUCUAAUACCGGAUAGGACGAUGGUUUGGAUGCCAUUGUGGAAAGUUUUUUCGGUGUGGGAUGAGCUCGCGGCCUAUCAGCUUGUUGGUGGGGUAAUGGCCUACCAAGGCGUCGACGGGUAGCCGGCCUGAGAGGGUGUACGGCGACAUUGGGACUGAGAUACGGCCCAGAGUCCUACGGGGGGCAGAAGUGGGGAAUAUUGCACAAUGGGCGCAAGCCUGAUGCAGCGACGCCGCGUGGGGGAUGACGGCCUUCGGGUUGUAAACUCCUUUCGCUAGGGACGAAGCGUUUUUGUGACGGUACCUGGAGAAGAAGCACCGGCUAACUACGUG
rnacentral:rRNA from 1 species